CGCAUCAUUAAAUCGAAUUAUUGAUGCGUUAGUGGCGGUGUGGAGUACUAUUUUAGCAGUUUUCUAGUGGUGUUUCUCACUCGCUUCCCGUGCGUGUGGGAUAAAAAGCUAUCACCAAAGCAACUUAGAUAGAAUCAUCCCUCGCUUUCGUGUAUCAUCCAGAUUCUUAUAGCCUAAACCAACGAGAGCCCAAAAAAAAAAAAACAACAAGAAAAACCUUCCCUUUUCUCUGUUUUGUUUUCUUUUCUUUCUCCCGAAGUCCACGUUUCACUUUUUAAUCAGGUUCUAUCUGUCUUGUUCCUCUCAGAAAACAAAAGCAGUGCUUCAGUCUUUUUAGAGUUGCAGCAAACAGCAGCAAUGGAAAAAGAAAUGUUUUGAGAGAAAUUAAGGAAAAGCGGGAGAAGUGAGUGAGAGUAACUAACUAUGAGUGCUCCACGGCGACGUCCGAUUUCCACGCGCGGCCGUGGUGGUGCCCUACGCGCGCAGCAGCCGCCAACGCCGCCAAUGCGAGAAGUUUACAACAUAAUCCCUGUCCACGACCUUCUAGCGGAUCAUCCAUCCCUCAGAUACCCUGAAGUACGCGCCGUCGGGGCGGCGCUGUUAUCUCCGGCUUUAAACCUCCCGAAGCCACCGUUCAUCACGUUGGAACCACACAUGGACCUUAUGGACUGGUUAGGCUACUCCUUCGGAUUCCAAAGCGACAACGUUCGGAACCAAAGGGAACACCUCGUCCUCCACUUAGCCAACUCCCAAAUGCGCCUCCAACCGCCUCCAACUAAACCCCACGAACUCGACCCUAACGUCCUCCGAAGAUUCCGCAAGAAGUUACUCCAAAACUACACCUCCUGGUGCUCUUUCCUCGGCGUCAAAUCCCACCUCCACCUCUCCGCUCGCCGUAGCAAUAGCAACGACGUCACGCGCGAGCUCCUCUACGUUUCUCUGUACCUCCUAAUCUGGGGAGAAGCCGCCAACCUCCGCUUCUGUCCUGAGCUCCUCUCUUACAUUUACCAUCACAUGGCAAUGGAAUUAAACAAAGUUCUAGAAGAACACCUCGAUGAAUUUACCGGAAGGCCGUUCGUGCCUUCGAUUUCAGGUAACUGUGCUUUCUUGAAAUGUAUUGUUAUGCCGUUUUACCGAACGAUAAAAACGGAAGUGGAGAGUAGUAGGAAUGGAACGGCGCCGCAUUCGGCUUGGAGGAACUACGAUGACAUAAAUGAGUACUUUUGGAGUAAGAGGUGUUUUAAGAGUUUAAAAUGGCCGAUUGAUUACGAGAGUAAUUUCUUUGAUACAGUAGAGAAAUCUAAAAGAGUUGGGAAAACUGGGUUUGUUGAGCAACGAUCGUUUUGGAAUGUGUUUAGGAGUUUUGAUCGGUUAUGGAUUCUGUUAAUUCUAUUUUUACAGGCUUCCAUUAUUGUUGCUUGGGCGGGAACGAAGUAUCCGUGGGAAGCUUUGGAGGAAAGGGAUGUUCAGGUGGAGUUGUUAACUGUUUUUAUUACAUGGGCCGGCCUCCGGUUUUUGCAAUCUGUGCUUGAUGCUGGGACUCAGUAUAGUUUGGUUUCGAAGGAGACCUUGUGGCUUGGAAUACGGAUGGUGUUGAAGAGUGUGGUUGCUUUGACUUGGAUUGUUGUAUUUGGGGUUUUCUAUGGGAGGAUUUGGAGUCAGAAGAAUGCUGAUAGGAGAUGGUCUUUUGAAGCAAACCAAAGGAUUGUUACAUUUCUUGAGGCUGUGUUUGUGUUUGUCAUUCCAGAGUUGUUGUCAUUGUUGUUUUUUGUGAUUCCCUGGGUUAGGAAUUGGAUUGAAGGGUUGGAUUGGGUGGUUAUUUCUUGGUUGAUGUGGUGGUUUCAUACUUGGAUUUUUGUUGGUCGUGGACUGAGGGAAGGUUUAGUUGAUAAUAUCAGGUAUACUUUGUUUUGGGUUGUGGUGUUAGUUUGGAAGUUCGCAUUCAGUUAUUUUCUUCAAAUAAAGCCCCUGGUUGCUCCAACUAAGGCGCUUUUGAGUCUUUCAAAUCUUAGCUAUAAUUGGCACCAGUUUUUUGGUAGUAGCAAUAGAAUUGCUGUUGUGUUGCUGUGGUUGCCUGUCGUUCUGAUUUAUUUUAUAGAUUUGCAAAUCUGGUAUUCGGUUUUUUCAUCCUUUGUUGGUGCAACAGUUGGGUUGUUUUCGCAUUUGGGUGAAAUCAGGAAUAUGGAGCAACUUAGGCUUAGGUUUCAGUUCUUUGCUAGUGCAAUGCAAUUUAAUCUCAUGCCAGAGGAUCAGCUGCUAAGUCCCAAAGCAACACUGGUGAAGAAACUUCGUGAUGCAAUUCAUCGAGUGAAGCUGAGAUAUGGACUUGGUCAGCCGUACAAGAAGAUUGAAUCAAGCCAAGUGGAAGCAACGAGGUUUGCCUUGAUAUGGAAUGAAAUAAUUAUUUCUUUGAGGGAGGAAGAUCUCAUUAGUGAUAGAGAGGUUGAGCUCAUGGAAUUGCCACCUAAUUGCUGGGAGAUUAGGGUAAUUCGCUGGCCAUGUUUUCUCCUAUGCAAUGAGCUGCUUCUUGCUCUCAGCAAGGCAAAAGAGCUGGCGGAUGCACCUGACUUGUGGCUUUGGUUGAAGAUAUGCAAGAAUGAGUAUGGGCGGUGUGCUGUUAUUGAAGCUUAUGAUAGCGUCAAGUAUUUGCUUCUUUGGGUCGUUAAAUAUGGCACUGAAGAGUAUUCCAUAGUCUUAAAAUUGUUUCAGGAGAUAGACUUCUACAUGCAGAAUGGAAAGUUAACUUCAGCAUACAAGAUGGAUGUGCUGCAGCAAAUUCAUGGCAAGCUAGAAUCCCUUGUUGAUCUUCUGGUGGAACAGAAAAAUGAUCAGAGUCAGGCAGUAAAUUUAUUGCAGGCCCUUUAUGAACUUUGCAUUCGAGAAUUUCCUAAGAUGAAGAGGUCCAUGGCCCAGUUGCGUGAGGAAGGUCUGGCACCUAGAAAUCCGGCAACUGAUGAAGGGCUGCUUUUCGAGAAUGCUAUCAAGUUUCCUGAUGCUGAGGAUGCUGAUUUUCACAAGCAGCUAAGGCGUCUGCAAACAAUUCUUACUUCUAAGGAUUCAAUGCAUAAUGUUCCUCUGAAUCUGGAGGCACGGAGGCGAAUUGCUUUCUUUAGCAACUCACUCUUUAUGAACAUGCCUCGUGCCUCUAAUGUUGAGAAAAUGAUGGCUUUUAGUGUUCUAACUCCAUACUAUGAUGAAGAAGUAUUGUUUAAGAAAGGAAUGCUUCAAGAUGAGAAUGAAGAUGGCAUUUCCACCUUGUUCUAUCUUCAGAAAAUCUAUGAGGACGAGUGGAGCAAUUUUAUGGAACGGAUGCACAGAGAAGGGAUGGAUGAUGAUGAUGAUAUUUGGAAGACAAAGUUGAGGGAUCUCCGUCUUUGGGCAUCGUACAGAGGGCAGACAUUAUCCCGAACAGUUAGGGGAAUGAUGUAUUACUAUAGGGCUCUUAAGAUGCUUUCCUUUCUUGAUUCUGCAUCUGAGAUGGACAUUCGAACGGGCUCACAAGAAAUUGCUUCUCAUCAUUCAUUAAACCAAAACCGUGGUUUGGUUGAUGGUAUUAGGCCGCCCACUCCAAAGAAACUUAGCCGAGCCAUUAGCGGUGUACGUCUGUUGUUCAAGGGACAUGAGUAUGGAUGUGCUUUGAUGAAAUUCACCUAUGUAGUCACCUGCCAGUUGUAUGGCCGGCAAAAGGCGAAAGGAGAGAGUCAUGCUGAGGAAAUUCUGUAUCUGAUGAAAAACAAUGAAGCUCUUCGAGUUGCCUAUGUAGAUGAGGUUCAGUUAGAGAGAGACGAGGUUGAGUAUUACUCUGUUCUUGUGAAGUACGACCAACAGCGGCAGGAGGAGGUAGAGAUUUAUCGAAUUAGGUUGCCAGGGCCCUUGAAACUUGGGGAAGGAAAACCAGAGAACCAGAAUCAUGCAAUAAUAUUUACUCGAGGUGAUGCAAUUCAGACCAUUGACAUGAAUCAAGACAAUUAUUUUGAGGAGGCACUCAAGAUGCGAAAUUUGUUGGAGGAGUUCAAGACCAAUUAUGGUAUUAGGAAGCCAACCAUUUUGGGAGUUCGUGAGAAUGUCUUCACAGGCUCAGUUUCCUCACUUGCAUGGUUUAUGUCUGCUCAGGAAACAAGUUUUGUGACCCUUGGGCAGCGUGUUCUAGCAAACCCUUUGAAGGUGAGAAUGCACUAUGGUCACCCAGAUGUGUUUGAUCGAUUCUGGUUCUUGACUAGGGGUGGAAUUAGCAAGGCUUCUAGAGUGAUUAAUAUCAGUGAGGAUAUAUUUGCUGGCUUCAAUUGCACUCUGCGAGGUGGCAAUGUAACACAUCAUGAAUAUAUGCAGGUGGGUAAAGGAAGGGAUGUGGGGUUGAAUCAGAUCUCUAUGUUUGAGGCCAAGGUUGCCAGUGGCAAUGGCGAGCAGGUGUUGAGCAGAGAUGUCUACCGAUUGGGUCAUAGGUUGGACUUAUUUCGGAUGCUUUCUUUUUACUACACAACUGUAGGACACUACUUUAACACGAUGAUGGUGGUACUGACUGUUUAUACAUUUUUGUGGGGCCGCCUCUAUCUUGCACUCAGUGGUGUUGAGAAGGAAGCCAAGAAUAAGAGUAUCAGCAAUGAGGCUCUUGGAACAAUCUUGAAUCAGCAGUUUAUAAUACAGCUUGGUCUGUUCACUGCACUUCCAAUGAUUGUUGAGAAUUGUCUUGAACAUGGGUUUCUUACAUCAAUUUGGGACUUCUUGAAAAUGCAGUUGCAGCUAGCAUCAUUCUUUUACACUUUCUCUAUGGGGACACGAACCCAUUUCUUUGGUCGGACCAUCCUUCAUGGGGGUGCUAAGUACCGAGCCACUGGGCGUGGUUUUGUGGUUGAGCACAAGAGCUUUGCUGAAAAUUAUAGACUUUACGCUCGAAGCCAUUUUGUUAAGGCAAUUGAACUUGGUGUUAUUCUAGCAGUGUAUGCUUCUUAUAGCCCACUGGCUAAGGAUACUUUUGUUUACAUAGCUAUGACCAUUUCAAGUUGGUUCCUUGUGGUGUCAUGGAUAAUGUCCCCUUUUGUGUUCAAUCCUUCUGGCUUUGAUUGGCUGAAGACAGUGUAUGAUUUUGAUGAUUUUAUGAAUUGGAUAUGGUGUAGAGGUGGUGUGUUUGCAGAAGCAGAUAAGAGCUGGGAAAUAUGGUGGUAUGAGGAACAAGACCAUUUGAGAACAACAGGUCUCUGGGGAAAGCUACUAGAGAUAAUUUUAGACCUUCGUUUCUUCUUCUUCCAGUAUGGUAUUGUGUAUCAGUUGGGCAUUGCUGAUAAAAGCACCCGUAUAACUGUUUACCUGCUAUCUUGGAUAUACGUGGUUGUGGCUGUUGGAAUUUAUGUGAUUAUAGCAUAUGCUCAAGACAAAUAUGCAGCAAAAAAGCACAUCUACUAUCGAGUAGUUCAGCUUGUAGUCACUAUACUUACAGUACUUGUGAUUGCCUUAUUGCUGAACUUGACCAAAUUUAAGUUUCUUGAUCUUGUCACAAGUCUUCUGGCAUUCAUUCCUACAGGAUGGGGUCUGAUAUCCAUUGCCCUAGUGCUUAGACCUUUUCUGCAAUCCACUGUGGUGUGGGAGACUGUAGUUUCCUUGGCACGGCUGUAUGAUAUGUUGUUUGGAGUGAUUGUCAUAGCUCCUGUGGCAUUGCUAUCAUGGUUGCCUGGAUUCCAGUCCAUGCAGACAAGAAUCUUAUUCAAUGAGGCAUUCAGCAGAGGUCUGCAGAUAUCUCGCAUUAUUUCUGGCAAAAAAUCUACGGCAUGAUGUCAAGGCAGCUGCAAGGGCCCUGCAUAUUCUCUGCUUGCUUGAAAUCUUAUCAUGGCAUCACGUAGUGAUUGGCAGGGGAUGACUUUGGAGUAACCACAUAUAUUAUGGGAUUUUCUUCCUUAUGUUUUUGCAGAAAAGGAAUCACCCAACCAUGGAUUGUUUCUUCUCUUAUGCUUUGCCAUGACCUUUUUACGCGGGGUAAUAAGGAAUCUUGAUAAAUUGGGGUUAUGAUUGGGUUGGUCAUAUCCAGCGUGAUUCAUUUACCUGAAGAUUAGAUAUCUGAGCUGUAAUGCAUUUUCAAAUUAUGAACCCUGAGCUGUCUCUUGGCUGUGUUUGUGAUUGAGCAAAAUCACUGACUGGAAACGCUAUUGAAAUCAUUGAAAAAGAGGCAGAGCUUGAAGCUUGAUUGAAUCAAAUAUCAGAAGUAAUGAAAUUGCACAAACAUGCAAUGGUCUUCUCACUCGUGCUAAAUGGUUAUUCAUCCUUGCAGGCUGAGGACUAAAUAUUCAAUAAUCUAAACUUCCCCUCCCUAUUGACCUUACUAAGUUGUUGUCUGGAAAGAAAAUCCAAUGAAGGGUCAAAAACUUUGUACAGUAUUAUUUCAUAUAAUGAGUUUUUAUGAGUUCAUAAA